rnacentral:misc_RNA from 1 species
AAGUCGUAACAAGGUUUCCGUAGGUGAACCUGCGGAAGGAUCAUUACCAAUUGGUUCUCGCAACCAAACACACACUACAUACUCUUGUGCAAACAAUUUGUGUCUUGGUGCAAGUGGGGCAACCCACGACCACCUCGACGUUAUUUGAUUACCUACUUACCACGUUUACCGUCUGAUGACACUACAUAUACAGUAUGCUUUUCCCAUGAGCCUAGCUCUGUCGGGGAAAGUCAUAUUUGAAUAUACAACUUUUAGCAACGGAUCUCUAGGCUCUC